rnacentral:lncRNA from 1 species
AUAUACAAAACUUCACUGAAACAUGCAAAUAAAGCGCGGUGCACAGUUCUCUACCACUGUAUCAAAGAAACAAACUUAGCCGAGGAUCUCAAAUCUAAGUGGAAAGUAGAAACGUUGCACUCUGCCUGUGUUGACUCAAUGAACCUUAUCUAUGUGUGAAUGACUAUGUUAUCAACCAAGUACUAAACAAAGUUUUAAGAACUUCAAAAGAAAAAUCGUCGCACAACAAUCAGUAUGGCGCGGCUGUUGGAAUUUUGAUCUCAGGUCAUAACUGACCGAAAGAAAAAGAGGGACCCUUUUUACCCCACGUAUGUGCCAUGAUCGGACGCACCAAAUCCAGCUGUUGGUUUCGGUCCCUGAUCCCUUUAGCGCCACCUAUAUAAUGAGCAGGAUGUACCCCUUCAAAAUAGAAACACACACACAUGUCCGGGUCAAUACAACUUGCUAACAACCGAUCCUUAAAAGAAGGCGCUCAAGGUGAUCAGAAGACCGACUACCACCGCCGGCCACCGCAAGGUCAGUGCCGGCGGCCAGUCCUACUGCGGCGCUCCUGCUGCUUGCUUUGAGGUCCUGUUCCUGCACUUCUUCUCCAACCAUCUUCAUGUUUCGAGGCAAGGUGUAGCCAUAGGCUACAUGAGGAGUGCAUCAAGCAGGAACAAGGCUUCCGUCAGAACCUGUAAGAAAUCACGAACCCUUUUCUAUUAAUCUGUAUUAGAUGGUCUAAUGCUAGGCUUAAGAUCCUCUCACGUUUAUCCCUAAAGUUUGUUUCCAACAAUGGUAUCAUGAGCUAGUUAAGCCUAUAUUAGAUCCUAAUGACAUUCUAUUGAUGAUAACGACCAUGUUCGGUAAGACCAAUUAAGCUAUGCUUCCGCAUAAAGUCCUUUUAAUCAGCACUGAUUAAGCAAUUAGAAGGAGGGGAGUCAAAUGUUUAAAGGAACCGCAAAAUUUUGCCAAUUAGCUGGAAGCCCAAUCCUAGAUUUUUUUUCCCCAAUUGGAAAAACCAAAGAGAUCAAAUCCCAAAUCUCAGACCAGAUCGAAAAUUUGUAGAAAAGAUGGGCUGGGACUUACGUUAUUGAUGACAGCAGCCAUGCGUGCUCGCCAUGGCCGCCUCCAUGCGUGCUCAUCUUGGCCGAAACACGCCAUCUCUCGGGACGGCAUGCAAAAAGAGACGAGGGAGCCGGCGCCGCAUCCUACGGACACGCACGCUGAGUGGCCUCCGCGCCGCACACGUCGUCGUCAAACCCUCAAGCACAGGCGUCGGCGUUCGGCCCUCCAAUGUUAUAAGAGGAUAUUAAUAUUGAGCACAAUUAUGAAUCGCUCAUUGAAUUUUCUAAAUAUUUUAUUUGUAAAAUUUGAUUGAGUGUGAAUUUAAUGUUGAUGCCACACUUACGACAUUUCUUAAAGAUGUGGUCAUUUCUAAUGGGCUCAGGCCACCUCAAGGAAAAUGAUGAUGGACGCGUGGUUUGUUUUUUCCCACCGCACUAUGUGUCAUAAUAAUGUUGGGGCAAUAUGCCUAUUGGGCAAAAUGAAAGUUGUUGGUUGGUGCAAUUCAUGUCAUUUUUAUUAUGAUGUGCACCUCUCAAAUAUUCAUAACGGUCCAAAAUGAUGUUAAUGGGUUAUGAUCAAUUCUCUCAAUGAAGAAACUUUGUUCAGUUUUUUUUCAAGGUCGUUUAUUUGACAAUUAUUAAUUUUCCCAAUAUCAUAAUUUGGAGAAUCUUGAUAUCUAAAUUUUAUAAUUUUGGAAAUUCUUAUGAUGAUUUAUAUUUAUGACAUUUUCACUCUGAAUGUCCUCUUUAAUGAUUACUCAGUGGGUGUGAGAUUUAUAUUUUUAUGUUAAUUCCAAUAUCAUUUUCAUUGUAUGACACUGAGAAUUCUAAUGAUAAUUUUGACACUUAGGUUCAAUAUUUAUAUUAUCGUUGUGAGAUUUAGUGUCAAAAGGCAUCACUCAUGGCACAAAUGAUUAUAUUAUGAUGUUGCUUUAUGUUAAUGAUGGCAAUUAAUUUAGUCAUAGUUCUUGCUGGUCAUUACGAGAUUUUACAUCUCUCUAGUCAAAAUGGAACCAACGAGAAGUUUUGAUUAGAGAUUUAAUGAGCAAAUGUUCUAAUGGCAUAUGAUGAUAUUCUGACCAACAUUGAUUAUGUUUUUCAUGUGUCAUUUACGAAUGAGUAAGGUUCUUUUUCGUUAUCUGCCCAACGGUGAUACGGAUUAGAAUAAACAUUAAGCAAGUUUUUAUUCAUGGCAUUGCAUGGUUAGUUCAUGCUUGAUUUUUUUUUUGUUAUAAUGAUCAUAAAGUUGUCUCCUCUUUCCAGCAAUAAUAAUGAUGUCAAACUUUUGUUUGGCAUAGAAGAACCUUAUGUAAAUAUCUUUCCCACAUGGAGAGUGGAGAUCAUUGUAUCAUGUAAGGAAUCUCCCAAUGUUUUUCUGCCAAUAAGGCUGAAGGAUUUUUAAUCAUGAUGAUAAGGCAGACAUUGGGAGAGGACGCAUGUGCCAUCAUACACAUCACUAAUGCAAAGGAGAUUAAAGUCAAAACUAUUAUUGGAUUUAUUCCACUAGCUUUUGGAGAUGACUUAAUUCUUCAUCUUAUUGAUGAUGUUUUGGUUCAUGCUCCUAGUUAUUGGAAAACUUUAAUUUCAUCUCUCGAAUAGAUGACGUGAUUUUAUAUGUUAUUACGUCAACUCAAAUUAUGUAAUGUUAGUCCCACCUUAUGGUGAGACGAGUUAUGUUUUUCACUAAAUGAACCUUUUGUAAAGAUUAUAUGCUAUGUUACUAUUGAAUAUGUCACGGAAGUGUGAUUAAUGAGACCUCAUCAAAAUUGUGGUUUUAGACCACAUUUCGAGGGGGAGAAUGGAAGUCUCAUUUAAUAUGAGAUAUCGUGUUCACUUCUCCUACUUAAUUAGAUCAUAACAUGUACAAUUAAGCAAACUAUGUAUCUCAAUUCUCCAAGUAAGAUGGAACCAACGAGAAGUCUUGGUUGGAGAAUGUAUGAAAAGCACAUUCUAAUGUUGGUUCUCUAAUUAGGACGCAACAAGUCUUAUUUAGAAGAAUCCAUGAAAAAUGACUCUUUUAUCAUGUUAGUGUGCACUUAGUCCCUUAUGAGCAUUACGAAACACACAUGAAUGCUAAAGUGGCAAGCUUGCUAGUCUAAUGACCAUCAUGAUGUAACAUGUUGAUUAUAUAUGCAACUUCGUUUAUAAUCAUAUGUGACACUUUACUUAAGUGGCAAGUUUUGUCAGUAUCAUGUGGCUUGUGGUUAUAUUCCUGACUAACGUCGUGUAUAAUCAUUUGUCAUAGUUCAUUAAGUUCUUUUCCACCUUCAGCCCAACGGUGUUGUGGUUUAGAGCUGAGAUGAUUGUUAUCAAGAUUUUUGGAUAUAUUUUCCAUCUUCUAAAUAAAGUGAUCAUCGGGGAACCUGGAGCUUAUGAGCAUUAAUCCUAAGGAUAACUCCAUUAGAUCUUUGUUCAUAUGCAUCAGGUAAAUUGAGGGGAAUUCUUUUUUCUCUAAUGCAACACUUAUUGUUGAGACUCAACAAUUUCUCUAUGAUCAAUAAGUGUGUGAAUGUUCAUCUUAGUGGCCUUUUGCCAUAUAGGAUGAAGAUUAUGAACUCUAAUGAUGUAUGGAACUCCAUAGAAUUUCCUCAGUGAGUUGUUGUUACGUUUGUGUUAUUACUAUGACAUGCUCUUGUGUUGACUUAGUGAUAAUGUAUGUAUGACUCAACUGUACGGUUUUGUCAUGGGUGAAGUUGACAUAAGGCAUGUUAUCUAAAGAAAUACAAUUAUGUGAUAAUACAAGCGUUGGGACACUCAUACUAUAAGACGAGGGGGAGUAAGAUCACUAACUUGUGGAGAUAUAAUAUUUUGGCGAGCCAAGUAAUUUCUAUCUUCUAUUUGUAACAUGAAGGAUCUUGGUGAUGCCUCAUACUUUGCUUGUAUUGAGUUUCGCCAAGAUAUAGGUCCAAAAGGAGUAUAAGUUUUAUGAUGAUGACAUACGUUGAUAGAGUACGGAAGAAAAUAUUACGUGGUAGUACUCUAUCGCACCUGCUACUAAAGUCAAGGGCAAUAAAGGUGGACAAUUUAGUGUCCAAGGAACCAUUAUGAACUGAUCAGGUAAUGUUAGUUCCUUAUGCUUCAGCUGUCUGAAGCAAUGUAAGUUUUCAAUUAUGAACUUGUCCUAUUUAUGAUCGGAAUAAUUGGCAAAUAGACAAGUCCGGAAAUGGACCACUCGAGAAGCCGCGAAAAAUCUUGUAGAUAUGCAAGGCAAUAAAGGUUUACAUGCUCACUAAUAAGAAGUCUGAUAACCUCGAUAUCCUCGAUUAUUCAGACAUUGUUUCUGCGAGAUGUGUGGAUAUUAAAGUUUCCACAUUGUGUUACAUGCUCACUCUCGCAUAUGGAGCUAUAUCGUGGAAGACCUCCAUAAUGACAUUGAUGGCAUUAGAAAUAAUGCAAUUUAUGAUGGGGUAUGUUAAGAGGCUUUUGGGCAGGUUGUAUGUCAAAGAUGUUCUAUUCCCGAAAUUAAGGUGGUAGACAACAUUUAUAAAACUCACCUACUGCAUUAUGAACACGCAGUUUUCUAUGCGAGUAACAACAAGUCAAAUGGUGUUGCCAAAACUAUUGACAAUAUGUUUCAUGUUGUGAAAGAUAGAACCCAAGAUCAAGCUAAUGAUGUUAAUCAUAUAAAAAUGAAUCGUAUGUAUUAUGGAUCCGUUUAUUAAAGGCUCAUCACCCAUAUUUAUGAUUAUGUUGCCGGCAUGGGUUAGGAAGGCCUUUUGAUCCUGGAAUUAGGACCAUCAAAUAAACCAACUCCCAUAAAGUAAUAUGUUAUCAAUUCGAGAUAAAAUGUUGUACUAUAAGUAUUGAGGUUCAAUGGCACUUCAUUGGCCAUUGCAACACCUUACUUUCGUAUAUUGAUUUUAUUAAGAGUGGGCUUAUGAUGUUUUUUGACCUUACGAUCAAGGGGGAGAAUGUUGGAAUUUUGAUCUCAGGUCAUAACUGACCGAGAGAAAAAGGGGGACC